rnacentral:rRNA from 1 species
UACGGGGGGGGCAAGCGUUGUUCGGAAUUACUGGGCGUAAAGGGUUUGUAGGUGGCUUGUUAAGUCAGACGUGAAAUCCCUCAGCUUAACUGGGGAACUGCGUCUGAUACUGGCGAGCUUGAGUGCAGGAGAGGAACGCGGAAUUCCAGGUGUAGCGGUGAAAUGCGUAGAUAUCUGGAGGAACACCGGUGGCGAAGGCGGCAUCCUGGACCGACACUGACACUGAGGAGCGAAAGCCAGGGGAGCAAACGGG